rnacentral:rRNA from 1 species
GAGGGUGCGAGCGUUAAUCGGAAUUACUGGGCGUAAAGCGCAUGCAGGUGGUUUGUUAAGUCAGAUGUGAAAGCCCGGGGCUCAACCUCGGAAUUGCAUUUGAAACUGGCAGACUAGAGUACUGUAGAGGGGGGUAGAAUUUCAGGUGUAGCGGUGAAAUGCGUAGAGAUCUGAAGGAAUACCGGUGGCGAAGGCGGCCCCCUGGACAGAUACUGACACUCAGAUGCGAAAGCGUGGGGAGCAAACAGGAUUAGAUACCCUGGUAGUCCACGCCGUAAACGAUGUCUACUUGGAGGUUGUGGCCUUGAGCCGUGGCUUUCGGAGCUAACGCGUUAAGUAGACCGCCUGGGGAGUACGGUCGCAAGAUUAAAACUCAAAUGAAUUGACGGGGGCCCGCACAAGCGGUGGAGCAUGUGGUUUAAUUCGAUGCAACGCGAAGAACCUUACCUACUCUUGACAUCCAGAGAACUUUCCAGAGAUGGAUUGGUGCCUUCGGGAACUCUGAGACAGGUGCUGCAUGGCUGUCGUCAGCUCGUGUUGUGAAAUGUUGGGUUAAGUCCCGCAACGAGCGCAACCCUUAUCCUUGUUUGCCAGCGAGUAAUGUCGGGAACUCCAGGGAGACUGCCGGUGAUAAACCGGAGGAAGGUGGGGACGACGUCAAGUCAUCAUGGCCCUUACGAGUAGGGCUACACACGUGCUACAAUGGCGCAUACAGAGGGCAGCCAACUUGCGAAAGUGAGCGAAUCCCAAAAAGUGCGUCGUAGUCCGGAUUGGAGUCUGCAACUCGACUCCAUGAAGUCGGAAUCGCUAGUAAUCGUGGAUCAGAAUGCCACGGUGAAUACGUUCCCGGGCCUUGUACACACCGCCCGUCACACCAUGGGAGUGGGCUGCAAAAGAAGUAGGUAGUUUAACCUUCGGGGGGACGCUUACCACUUUGUGGUUCAUGACUGGGGUGAAGUCGUAACAAGGUAGCGCUAGGGGAACCUGGCGCUGGAUCACCUCCUUAAACGAUGAU